UUUCUCUUCUCCUUGGUUCAUCUUCUCUGCUGAUCUCCUCUGGCACUAUCAGGUUUUACUGCAUUAAUUCUUUAUCCCAGAGCAACUUUUGGGCAGCAGUUGGAGUGUUUCUUUCAGUCCACCCGGAGACCCAAGGUAAACCUGCAGGCGUCCACAGGCCCUGGCGUCUCCAUCUAUCUCUAUUUCCUGUUUUAUUUUUCUUUUAUUCAGAAACAAUGUACUAUUAUUCUUCAGACCUAGUAUGUAGUAAUCUUAGAUAGUCUGUGACACCGUGACACUAGGUUUUGGGUGUUUGAGGUUUUAAAAGCUGUAAUAGAUGCAGAUUUUAGAUA